rnacentral:misc_RNA from 1 species
GUUAUUUGAUUUAGACGGACGAUGUCCGCGGUCAUUCUGAACAAGAUAGAGCUUGUGAGAAAGGGGCCGACGGCUGAGCGGCGCGGAACGCCACCGCCGCCUUCCCAGAGGUGCACAGGGGUUUGGUUUGGAAGGGGCCGCCGGGAGCCCGCAGCACGGCGUUUCCGCCGGUGCAGGGCCGACCCGAGCCGCCCCGAUGUAAUACGAUAAUGAUCCUUCCGCAGGUUCACCUACGGAAA